UAGAUUUCAUGACAUGAUUUCUGGAGCUGUAAGAUGGCUUUUUUUCCAAGGUUUCAUCCUCAUCAAAGUGUGCAUCUCCACCAAAGUCCUUGCCGGGUGCAUAGGCAUGAGCAACAGACCCUCCUGGGCCAUCAAAAGGGAUGAAGUCAUUGUGACCUGAGGAGUGAGUCCCACAGACAGCUGACUGAAGGCUACAGCAGGACAUUCAGAAAGCAGAAAUACAGAUGGAAAAUGCACGGUUAACACUACUCACCAGCUCCUCGGGUUCCGUGGGAAGGUGCUGUAUGAGCGGACGUCUGGUAUUCCGCAUCUGGGCUGCUUCAUCAUGUCCAUCGUCUUACGGUUCAGCUCCCCGGUCACCUCCAGCCCAAAGAACGACUGCAUUUCCCGGAUUUUGUCAGCCAUGUGGUUGAGAUUUGUUGAUUUAAAUAAAGAGUGCUUAUCUUCUUUAAAAUCA